rnacentral:rRNA from 1 species
AGUUUGAUUAUGGCUCGAGGACGAACGCUGGCGGCGCGCCUAACACAUGCAAGUCGAACGGACUUAGAGAGCUUGCUCUUAAGUUAGUGGCGGACGGGUGAGUAACACGUGAGCAACCUGCCUUUCAGAGGGGGACAACAGUUGGAAACGACUGCUAAUACCGCAUAAGACCACGGGAUGGCAUCAUUCUGCGGUCAAAGAUUUAUCGCUGAAAGAUGGGCUCGCGUCCGAUUAGAUAGUUGGUGAGGUAACGGCCCACCAAGUCGACGAUCGGUAGCCGGACUGAGAGGUUGAACGGCCACAUUGGGACUGAGACACGGCCCAGACUCCUACGGGAGGCAGCAGGUGGGGGAUAUUGGACAAGUGGGGGGCAACCCUGAUCCAGCGACGCCGCGUGAGGGAAGAAGGUUUUCGGAUUGUAAACCUCUGUUGACAGGGAAGAAAAUGACGGUACCUGUUUAGAAAGCCACGGCUAACUACGUGCCAGCCGCCGC